rnacentral:rRNA from 1 species
GACAGAGGUGCCGAGCGUUAGGCGGAAUCACUGGGCUUAAAGCGUGUGUAGGCGGACGUCUAAGUACCUUGUGAAAUCCCACGGCUCAACCGUGGAACGGCUUGGUAUACUGGGCGUCUUGAGCCACUUAGGGGUCGUCGGAACAAGCGGUGGAGCGGUGAAAUGCGUAGAUAUCGCUUGGAACGCCAACAGGUGAAAACAGACGACUGGGAGUGUGCUGACGCUGAGACACGAAAGCCAGGGGAGCGAACGGG